GUCGAACGGAAAGGCCCUGCUUGCAGGGUACUCGAGUGGCGAACGGGUGAGUAACACGUGGGUGAUCUGCCCUGCACUUCGGGAUAAGCUUGGGAAACUGGGUCUAAUACCGGAUAGGAACCAUCUUUAGUGUGGUGGUUGGAAAGUUUUUUCGGUGUAGGAUGAGCUCGCGGCCUAUCAGCUUGUUGGUGGGGUAAUGGCCUACCAAGGCGGCGACGGGUAGCCGGCCUGAGAGGGUGUACGGCCACAUUGGGACUGAGAUACGGCCCAGACUCCUACGGGAGGCAGCAGUGGGGAAUAUUGCACAAUGGGCGCAAGCCUGAUGCAGCGACGCCGCGUGGGGGAUGAAGGCCUUCGGGUUGUAAACUCCUUUCGCUAGGGACGAAGCUUUUUGUGACGGUACCUAGAUAAGAAGCACCGGCUAACUACGUGCCAGCAGCCGCGGUAAUACGUAGGGUGCGAGCGUUGUCCGGAAUUACUGGGCGUAAAGGGCUCGUAGGUGGUUUGUCGCGUCGUCUGUGAAAUUCUGGGGCUUAACUCCGGGCGUGCAGGCGAUACGGGCAUAACUUGAGUGCUGUAGGGGUAACUGGAAUUCCUGGUGUAGCGGUGAAAUGCGCAGAUAUCAGGAGGAACACCGAUGGCGAAGGCAGGUUACUGGGCAGUUACUGACGCUGAGGAGCGAAAGCAUGG
rnacentral:rRNA from 1 species